UACGGAGGGGGCUAGCGUUGUUCGGAAUUACUGGGCGUAAAGCGCACGUAGGCGGCUUUGUAAGUUAGAGGUGAAAGCCCGGAGCUCAACUCCGGAACUGCCUUUAAGACUGCAUCGCUUGAAUCCAGGAGAGGUGAGUGGAAUUCCGAGUGUAGAGGUGAAAUUCGUAGAAAUUCGGAAGAACACCAGUGGCGAAGGCGGCUCACUGGACUGGUAUUGACGCUGAGGCGCGAAAGCUAGGGGAGCAAACGGG
rnacentral:rRNA from 1 species